rnacentral:tRNA from 1 species
AGGUUCGUAAUUCAACGGUAGAAUAUCUGGCUUUUAACCAGUCAAUGAGGGUUCGAUUCCCUCCGGACCUACCA